AUACGUAAGGGGCGAGCGUUGUCCGGAUUCACUGGGCGUAAAGGGCGCGUAGGCGGCGAUACAAGUCAGAGGUGAAAGCUAUGGGCUCAACCCAUAAACGGCCUUUGAAACUGUAUUGCUUGAGUAUUGCAGAGGAAAGUGGAAUUCAUGGUGUAGCGGUGAAAUGCGUAGAUAUCAUGGAGAACACCUAUGGCGAAGGCAGCUUUCUGGGCAAAUACUGACGCUGAGGCGCGAAAGCUAGGGUAGCGAACAGGAUUAGAAACCCCUGUAGUCC
rnacentral:rRNA from 1 species